UACGUAGGGUGCAAGCGUUGUCCGGAAUUAUUGGGCGUAAAGAGCUCGUAGGCGGUUUGUCGCGUCUGCUGUGAAAACCCGGGGCUCAACCUCGGGCCUGCAGUGGGUACGGGCAGACUAGAGUGCGGUAGGGGAGAUUGGAAUUCCUGGUGUAGCGGUGAAAUGCGCAGAUAUCAGGAGGAACACCGGUGGCGAAGGCGGGUCUCUGGCCCGAUACUGACGCUGGAGGCGCGAAAGCGUGGGGAGCAAACAGG
rnacentral:rRNA from 1 species